CCAAAAUAUUAAGGUCAAUUAAUUAAAAGAAAGUUGCUACAAAAUAUUUGUGAGCUCGACGGAAUACCAGUUAUUAUCCAAUCGUUUAGAGAUUUAUCGGUAAAGAAAACUGAAUACUUGUUUCAAUCUGAAAACGUCUUUCUGCCCAUUUUGAGGACGUCUUAAGACUUUAGAAUUUCAACUAUGUGCUCUUUGCCAAGGUAGCAGCACUACAUUACACUUAAAUUAAAUCGGCCCUUUAGGUGUGUCGCAAGGGACUGUGAUAAAGUUGUGGAUACCUUAACCAAAGUACAGAAUGGCAGCCUAUCUCAAUUACUUCCGAUUAAAGAGCCACACGAACUGAGGGAAAACCUAUAUCUGUGCGGUCUGCUCGAGAAACAAGACAUGGCUUCGGACAACCCGUCCCAUCGGUGGCGCAUAGCGACGCAAGCCACGGCCACCUUAGAAGACGCGGGACCGAACGGAGUCGUCAUUGACUAUUCGGCAGAGGAAUUCCGGGUACACAUCUCGAAAACAGACCGGAUCACCAUUUCUCAACGCCCCCCGAAGUAGGAGGGGGAUGUGAAGAUGUAGUUUGACCCCUCACAAACAGCGCCAACAAUAUCGGCCGCCAGCGCCAACAACAACGCCAGUUAGCGCCAACAACAUCGCCAGCCAGCGCCAACAACAUCGCCAGCCAGCAGCUACAACAUCGCCAGCCGCAACGCCAAAAGGCGUCGCCAACAACAACAGCAGCCAGCGGCAAUAGCAAUAGCAACAACAGCCACCGGCAAUAGCAACAGCAGCCAGCGCCAACAACAACAGCAGCUAACAACAAAACAAAACCCUCGCGCAUAACUUUGUAAAAACUUUGUACAGUUCACUUAAUAUGUAAGCUUAACCUAUAAUUGUAAGAUUUAUAGUUAUAUUCGUACUCAAGAAUUAUCUUAGCUAAGCUUUCCCCCUCCGUUCUCGCAUCAGCAGUAGCCACACACACACCAAGAGAGCAACGAAAUAUUCACCACGAAAAGUGCAGCGCCGCACAGGAGCAAGCGAGAGAGGACAUGCGAUCGAGAAGGAAAACAACCCCCGAAAAUUGGCACGCGCCAAGGGAAGAGCGAGAAAAAUGAGUACCGAAACUUCGACAAGUGGAAAAACCCCGGAGCAGCGGCAAAGCUUGACUCUGUCACUUUGGAAAACGCGGCGCACCGGACCAGAAGUGCGAGCAGGUCACUCUUAGACACGCGGUGCACGGGAUCAGAAGCAGGGGACUCUUACACACGCGGCGCACGGGAUAAAAAGUGCGAGAAGCGGGACUCUUGCAAAGGCGGCGGACGGGAUUAGAAGUGCGAGCAGAGCAAAUUCAUGUGGGCAUCAGGAGUCUUUUGCCUUCGGAGUGCGAAAAGUGGUGCAGUCGAGUGACUGGUGCCAAGUGACCCAGGAAGGAGUUUACCUAGAUGGCCUGGAGGAGAGUGUGCCGGCCCAGGACCAGCGGCGGAGCACCCGGAGUCACGCGUGUGUGCGUGCGUGAGAGCGAGACGGGUAACUGAGUGGAGUGAACCGCAUUUUGGCCAGCGAGAGUCCCGUGCAAUGAGGCCUCGAUGCGGCUUCGCCCAGAGUAGGCUAGAAUUUAGAAACCAAGACCUAACCUAACCCGUUAACCUGCGAGCGCUGAGAAAACAUGAACCAAGAAAUAAAAAUGCUCUUAUAAAUAUA